rnacentral:rRNA from 1 species
CCUACGGGAGGCUGCAGUCGAGAAUUUUUCUCAAUGGGCGCAAGCCUGAAGGAGCGACGCCGCGUGGGGGAUGAAGGGUUUCGAUCCGUAAACCCCUGUCAUUUGUGAACUAGUAAUGAAAGAGGAAGGGACGGCUAACUCUGUGCCAGCAGCCGCGGUAAUACAGAGGUCCCGAGCGUUGUUCGGAUUCACUGGGCGUAAAGGGUGCGUAGGUGGCGUGGUAAGUUUGAUGUGAAAGCUCAGGGCUUAACCCUGAAAUGGCAUUGAAUACUACUGUGCUGGAGGUUUGGAGGGGGGACUGGAAUUCUUGGUGUAGCAGUGAAAUGCGUAGAUAUCAAGAGGAACACCAGUGGCGAAGGCGAGUCCCUGGACACCCUGACACUGAGGCACGAAAGCUAGGGGAGCAAACAGGAUUAGAUACCCUUGUAGUC